CGCUACGUAAGCAUGCGUCGUGGAAAAAACAACAGAUAUGGAGAACAGGCGCCGAGAAUACGACGAUUCUCGUUCAACUAGCCUCGGUAACAAGCCUCAUUGCCACUUUAUUAUCGCAAACAGAUCUGCCAGGAAUAGCCACAAAUCACACAGAACUGGUUAUCCGGUGCGUCAUACAUGAGCUUAUGUCCGUGUUUCUCAACAGCAUUAUCUAUGGAAACGGACUAACUCUCCUAUACUGAAUACGAUGGGAAAUAUUCUCGAAACAGCAUGGAACAAUUAGCAAUUAGCAUAAUUUCCAAUCCAUUACCUCCUAAUAGAAAUUCGAAUGUAUGCACAGAAGUGACUAAAAGGCAUACAUAUAACAGCUUUGAUUUAUUAACUUCUAAAUUAAUUUGUAUACGAGAAUAAAUGUGAUUUGUAAAGAUAUCUUCUAGGCAGUUACUUCUGGAUACGCAAGGGAAAAGGAUUAUUCUAAAUUGAAAUAACAAUGUUUACACACAAUUACAACUAGUUUACUCUUGAAGAUAUUAUAUUACUGUUUAAUGAAAUUGAAGUAUCCAUUCAUUACGAAUUUUAAUCGGGCGAAUCAACAAAUAGUAUGAAUUUUAAUAAUACGUUGGAAUAACGAAUGUUACAUUAAUUAGAGAGUGUUCACUAAAUAAUAAAAUGUAAACUAAUGUUACUCAACUUACAUAAUCAAAAGAUCAGUCAAAGGUACCAUAAACAUGAGGUGAAUUUUAGGUUAGAUCCAGGUUAAGUUGUGAACACUUCAAAAUAUUACACUAUUCACGGAAAACACGUACAAUUAAA
rnacentral:misc_RNA from 1 species